rnacentral:rRNA from 1 species
GCUUUGAAGUGUGGACGCCAGUCUGCAUGGAGCCGACCUUGAAAUACCACCCUUUAAUGUUUGAUGUUCUAACGUGGACCCGUGAUCCGGGUUGCGGACAGUGUCUGGUGGGUAGUUUGACUGGGGCGGUCUCCUCCUAAAGAGUAACGGAGGAGCACGAAGGUUGGCUAAUCCUGGUCGGACAUCAGGAGGUUAGUGCAAUGGCAUAAGCCAGCUUGACUGCGAGCGUGACGGCGCGAGCAGGUGCGAAAGCAGGUCAUAGUGAUCCGGUGGUUCUGAAUGGAAGGGCCAUCGCUCAACGGAUAAAAGGUACUCCGGGGAUAACAGGCUGAUACCGCCCAAGAGUUCAUAUCGACGGCGGUGUUUGGCACCUCGAUGUCGGCUCAUCACAUCCUGGGGCUGAAGUAGGUCCCAAGGGUAUGGCUGUUCGCCAUUUAAAGUGGUACGCGAGCUGGGUUUAGAACGUCGUGAGACAGUUCGGUCCCUAUCUGCCGUGGGCGCUGGAGAACUGAGGGGGGCUGCUCCUAGUACGAGAGGACCGGAGUGGACGCAUCACUGGUGUUCGGG